rnacentral:rRNA from 1 species
AUUGAACGCUGGCGGCAUGCUUUACACAUGCAAGUCGGACGGCAGCACAGAGAAGCUUGCUUCUUGGGUGGCGAGUGGCGAACGGGUGAGUAAUAUAUCGGAACGUACCGAGUAAUGGGGGAUAACUAAUCGAAAGAUUAGCUAAUACCGCAUAUUCUCUGAGGAGGAAAGCAGGGGACCUUCGGCCCUUGCGUUAUUCGAGCGGCCGAUAUCUGAUUAGCUAGUUGGUGGGGUAAAGGCCUACCAAGGCGACGAUCAGUAGCGGGUCUGAGAGGAUGAUCCGCCACACUGGGACUGAGACACGGCCCAGACUCCUACGGGAGGCAGCAGUGGGGAAUUUUGGACAAUGGGCGCAAGCCUGAUCCAGCCAUGCCGCGUGUCUGAAGAAGGCCUUCGGGUUGUAAAGGACUUUUGUCAGGGAAGAAAAGGCUGUUGCUAAUACCGACAGCUGAUGACGGUACCUGAAGAAUAAGCACCGGCUAACUACGUG